UCUACACAGCACAACACAGAUGACAUAUUCUUCAUUCAUCCUUAUUAGUUGUCAUCUCCUGGUUUCUCUCACUGCCUUAGUUAACUCUACAGAGCAUGGAACUUCCUGUAGCUGCCUGUUUACAAUUUCAAGGAACUUGCACAGUUUUACUGCUUUACACACAGCAUUGAUGUAGGUUCAACAACUGAAUGUGUGUGCUUCUGUUU